rnacentral:rRNA from 1 species
UACGAAGGGGGGCUAGCGUUGCUCGGAAUCACUGGGCGUAAAGGGUGCGUAGGCGGGUCUUUUAAGUCAGGGGUGAAAUCCUGGAGCUCAACUCCAGAACUGCCUUUGAUACUGAAGAUCUUGAGUUCGGGAGAGGUGAGUGGAACUGCGAGUGUAGAGGUGAAAUUCGUAGAUAUUCGCAAGAACACCAGUGGCGAAGGCGGCUCACUGGCCCGAUACUGACGCUGAGGCACGAAAAGCG